AACGAACGCUGGCGGCAGGCCUAACACAUGCAAGUCGAGCGAGGACUUCGGUUCUAGCGGCGGACGGGUGAGUAACGCGUGGGAAUGUGCCCUUCUCUACGGAAUAGCCCUGGGAAACUGGGAGUAAUACCGUAUACGCCCUUUUGGGGAAAGAUUUAUCGGAGAAGGAUCAGCCCGCGUUGGAUUAGGUAGUUGGUGGGGUAAUGGCCUACCAAGCCGACGAUCCAUAGCUGGUUAGAGAGGAUGAUCAGCCACACUGGGACUGAGACACGGCCCAGACUCCUACGGGAGGCAGCAGUGGGGAAUCUUAGACAAUGGGGGCAACCCUGAUCUAGCCAUGCCGCGUGAGUGAUGAAGGCCUUAGGGUUGUAAAGCUCUUUCAGCUGGGAAGAUAAUGACGGUACCAGCAGAAGAAGCCCCGGCUAACUCCGUG
rnacentral:rRNA from 1 species